CUACAGCUUUGAGCUACAGAGGCCGUCAAGAGUAAGGAAGAUGCUGAAGUCAAACGUCAGAACAAGACAGCAGACAUGGUUGCCGUGACGGAAAGCACAAGGUUAAGUUCUCUGUUGGCAUCAGAACCACUAUGACAAAAUGGUUGACGAGAAAGAUGCAGAACUUGAUGAUAAGAAGAGAAAAGACAUGGAGGCAGCUGCUAAUAGAACAUCACUGGAAUUGGAUCUGUCACAGCAGAACAUGGAAAAUGACCAUUUGAAGGAACAACUGGAGAAAGAAAUGAAGGAGAGGGAAAGCUGACUACAGGAGAUUACAGUCCUGGAAAAAGAGACGGCAUGUCAGAAAAUGAGCAGACAACUGCAGACACAGGAUAAACAGGAAAUGGAAAGUAAAGCCCCAAGAACUCCAUCUUGGAGCUCCAUAACAACAGUGAGAGCAACACCGCAAAUUAAG